CACCGUGUUCACGUUGGCUCCAGCGUCAAUCAACAUUCGGGCAUAAUUAUGUUUCUCCGCUAGAGUGCAGGCGAGUUCCAAACAGGAAAGGAGCCCUCGGUACCGAUUGGAUAGGACUGGAAGCUGAGGAGGAAUGUAUAUUGUCCCUGCCAGGAACGUACCCUCGACUCGUCGACCAUGAAACCCGUAGACUAGUCACUACACUGAUUGAGCAACUCAAAGUACGCAGAAGAUAUAAAAAUGAGAAGAGUCUUCCACUUUUAAAUACUUGUACACUUAUUUUCGAUAUCCGUCCUCUGCUACAACAUACUCGAUACUAGCAAUACUGUUGGUUUGUUACAAAGAGAAAUUACUUUUCCAGAGAGAAGUAUUUUGAGGAUGCAAGUCAUAAUAUAAAUGUUAUAUUUUUAACCGUAUAAAACCAGAGUGGUUACUAUAUGUAUCGCGUAAUUUAAUAAUAACAACCCUGUAUUCUGCCGAGAAA